rnacentral:rRNA from 1 species
GAUGAACGCUGGCGGCGUGCCUAACACAUGCAAGUCGAGCGAACGGACGAUAAGCUUGCUUUUCUGAUGUUAGCGGCGGACGGGUGAGUAACACGUGGAUAACCUACCUAUAAGACUUGGAUAACUUCGGGUAACCGGAGUUAAUACCGGAUAAUAUUUUGAACCGCAUGGUUCAAAAGUGAAAGACGUUCUUGCUGUCACUUAUAGAUGUAUCCUCGCUGCAUUAGCUAGUUGGUAAGGUAACGGCUUACCAAGGCAACGAUGCAUAGCCGACCUGAGAGGGUGAUCGGCCACACUGGAACUGAGACACGGUACAGACUCCUACGGGAGGCAGAAGUAGGGAAUCUUCCGAAAUGGGCGGAAGCCUGACGGAGCAACGCCGCGUGAGUGAUGAAGGGCUUCGGAUCGUAAAACUCUGUUAUUAGGGAAGAACAUAUGUGUAAGUAACUGUGCACAUCUUGACGGUACCUAAUCAGAAAGCCACGGCUAACUACGUG